UACGUAGGGGGCUAGCGUUGUCCGGAAUCAUUGGGCGUAAAGCGCGCGUAGGCGGCCCGGUAAGUCCGCUGUAAAAGUCCAGGGCUCAACCCUGGAAAGCCGGUGGAUACUGUCGGGCUCGAGUCCGGAAGAGGCGAGUGGAAUUCCUGGUGUAGCGGUGGAAUGCGCAGAUAUCAGGAGGAACACCAAUGGCGAAGGCAGCUCGCUGGGACGGUACUGACGCCGAGGCGCGAAAGCGUGGGGAGCGAACAGG
rnacentral:rRNA from 1 species